rnacentral:rRNA from 1 species
AACGCUGGCGGCGUGCUUAACACAUGCAAGUCGAACGGUAAGGCCCUUCGGGGUACACGAGUGGCGAACAGGUGAGUAACACGUGGGUGAUCUGCCCUGCACUUCGGGAUAAGCCUGGGAAACUGGGUCUAAUACCGGAUAGGACUCCUGGCUUCAUGGUUGGGGGUGUAAAGCUUUUGCGGUGUGGGAUGGGCCCGCGGCCUAUCAGCUUGUUGGUGGGGUAAUGGCCUACCAAGGGCGACGACGGGCAGCCGGCCUGAGAGGGUGACCGGCCACACUGGGACUGAGAUACGGCCCAGACUCCUACGGGAGGCAGCAGUGGGGAAUAUUGCACAAUGGGCGCAAGCCUGAUGCAGCGACGCCGCGUGAGGGAUGACGGCCUUCGGGUUGUAAACCUCUUUCAAUAGGGACGAAGCGCAAGUGACGGUACCUAUAGAAGAAGGACCGGCCAACUACGUG